AGCCCACAGGUUUUUGACCUAUUGUGACUAACUGUUGUGAUAGGCAUAGUUUUGGUGAAUGUCUUUUUUUUCUACCUUACUUUUAGCCUCAAAGCAACAGUGUCUUGUUUGGAAUGUACACAUGUGAGUAAUUCUGGAGAUGAUCUCUUGUGAUAUUUUGAUGUAAUUUUAAUCUCCUCAGAGCAGAUGUGCACAAACAAAACUCUGUUGUAUAAGACAGGCCUCGAGGAGCGGGGAAAGAGAGGGCUUGGAGAAUUUGCCACAGAGAAAACCUUCCUCUUCUACCUCCCCUCCUCUCUCUCUCUCUCUCUCUCUCUCUCUCUCUCUCUCUUCAAGACAGGAUAGCAGCAACAAAAAGAUGUGCCAGGCUGCAGAGCUCCCAUAAUCUGCAUGGAUGGCUUUGCUGCAUUUCCGCAGAGUCUGAGCAAGCUCUUGGCCAAGCCUCACAUCGCCGCCCAGGUCUGAAUGCCUGAGGUUCCCUCUGUAGAGCCCAUAAUCUUCUGUGUUCUCUCUUUCUUUUUGUUGCUGUGGGGAUCUGUGUUUUCUUGUUGGUGGUUACCUGCACUGAUAAUCAGUGUGGGGAUCAUGUGAUCUGCAUUGUGUGGCUGCUUGUCUUGGGUCACAUGAGGCAUGUCACAUGACACAUUAGGAGAUUAUAAAGUUUGGCUUGUGGCGUUCACACUCUCUUGCUGCUGCCAUUUGCCACUGCAACUAGACUCCCGUCAUACAGGGUGACUGCUAGAACAAUGUGUUCCACUCUUCAUGAAGGACACAGGUGACUGCGUGGCAUUUGAAGGACUUGUGGCCUCCUAUUGAGUUGCUGGGCUGCAGACACUCUGGUAGUUUGUCUUAUGUGAUUUCGUUUUUUAAAUUGUUUUAUAUUGGUAUUUAAAAUGUGUUGAUUAUGUACUUGUAUUUGUAGCACUGGAGUGCCCCAUUUUAUCUUCCUGGGUUAUUGUGCUGCGGGGAGUAUUGAACACUCUUGCAAAGUAGGCCAAUACUUCUUGUAUAUGUUGGUUUUAUGUGUGCUGGUGAAUGAAAUGGGGGAUUAAUGUGCAUUAUUUCUUUUUAAAGGGACCAGGCCAGCCACUGUUUUAUUGUCAGUGUACAAGUCUUUUUUUAGUUUGUUUGUUGGUUGUUUUGUUUGCCUUUGGCUUUGUCCUUUUUUUUUGUCCUUGGUCUAGUGUAACCCUGCCUUGACCAAGCCAGCGCGGUGGUCAUUGUGUUGGGAGCUGGCUGUUCUCCUCUUUUUGUCUCUGUAUAGGUUCUCUGUACAAGGCUGGAUCUGCACCUCACUACUGCUCCAUUCAGUUGGGGGCUGCACUGAGGGGACACUAUUUUGGUGUGUACUGGUAACAUGCAACACGGUGUGGUAUUUUGUAGUGGUAAUUACUGACCUUGUGUGUGCAGUGUUUGCUAUGUUGCAUGCUUGUAUGGUGUUGGGUUUGUUGUGUCUGUCUCUCUCACCAGGGCCUCCUAGGAGAGGAGCUGUGGGUGCCGUGCCGACCCGACCUUAUUAGUUUGAGAAGCUCCAGCCAGUUUCCCUUCGUCUCUUUUUCACAUUAGCAAUUGUACCUAUUCAAAAUUGUAAUAAAUUCGAGCUUGUGUA